rnacentral:rRNA from 1 species
AUUGAACGCUGGCGGCAGGCCUAACACAUGCAAGUCGAACGGUAACAGGAAGCAGCUUGCUGCUUCGCUGACGAGUGGCGGACGGGUGAGUAAUGUCUGGGAAACUGCCUGAUGGAGGGGGAUAACUACUGGAAACGGUAGCUAAAACCGCAUAACGUCGCGAGACCAAAGAGGGGGACCUUAGGGCCUCUUGCCAUCGGAUGUGCCCAGAUGGGAUUAGCUAGUAGGUGGGGUAACGGCUCACCUAGGCGACGAUCCCUAGCUGGUCUGAGAGGAUGACCAGCCACACUGGAACUGAGACACGGUCCAGACUCCUACGGGAGGCAGCAGUGGGGAAUAUUGCACAAUGGGCGCAAGCCUGAUGCAGCCAUGCCGCGUGUAUGAAGAAGGCCUUCGGGUUGUAAAGUACUUUCAGCGGGGAGGAAGGGAGUAAAGUUAAUACCUUUGCUCAUUGACGUUACCCGCAGAAGAAGCACCGGCUAACUCCGUG